rnacentral:rRNA from 1 species
UACGUAGGGCGCAAGCGUUAUCCGGAAUUAUUGGGCGUAAAGAGCUCGUAGGCGGUUUGUCGCGUCUGCCGUGAAAGUCCGGGGCUCAACUCCGGAUCUGCGGUGGGUACGGGCAGACUAGAGGUAUUCAGGGGAGAACGGAAUUCCUGGUGUAGCGGUGAAAUGCGCAGAUAUCUGGAGGAACACCGGUGGCGAAGGCGACAUCUGGACCGGUAGUUGACGCUGAGGCGCGAAAGCCAGGG